rnacentral:rRNA from 1 species
UCCGGUAAAGGAUGGGGAUGCGUUCCAUUAGGUUGUUGGUGAGGUAACGGCUCACCAAGCCUUCGAUGGAUAGGGGUUCUGAGAGGAAGGUCCCCCACAUUGGAACUGAGACACGGUCCAAAUCCUACGGGAGGCAGCAGUGAGGAAUAUUGGUCAAUGGGCGUUAGCCUGAACCAGCCAAGUAGCGUGAAGGAUGAAGGCUCUAUGGGUCGUAAACUUCUUUUAUAUAAGAAUAAAGUGCAGUAUGUAUACUGUUUUGUAUGUAUUAUAUGAAUAAGGAUCGGCUAACUCCGUGCCAGCAGCCGCGGUAAUACGGAGGAUCCGAGCGUUAUCCGGAUUUAUUGGGUUUAAAGGGAGCGUAGGUGGGCUGGUAAGUCAGUUGUGAAAGUUUGCGGCUCAACCGUAAAAUUGCAGUUGAUACUGUCAGUCUUGAGUACAGUAGAGGUGGGCGGAAUUCGUGGUGUAGCGGUGAAAUGCUUAGAUAUCACGAAGAACUCCGAUUGCGAAGGCAGCUCACUGGACUGCAACUGACACUGAUGCUCGAAAGUGUGGGUAUCAAACAGGAUUAGAUACCCUGGUAGUCCACACAGUAAACGAUGAAUACUCGCUGUUUGCGAUAUACAGUAAGCGGCCAAGCGAAAGCAUUAAGUAUUCCACCUGGGGAGUAC